GAGGACCGUAUUCAUGGAAGAGGAUUGAACAGAAGACUACUGAGUUCUUAAGAGAAAAAUGGCACUUAAGAAAUUGAUGGUGAUAUCAAAGGAAGGUUACUUAUUACUCUUGGACUUUGAUGAUGAGGACGAUGACAUAAAAGUUUCAGAGGAGGCUCUUGCGGAAGUAAAGAGCCCAGGAUUUGAUAAAAAUGAGAAUAUAUCGCCUCAAGCAGAAGCAGAUGAAUAUAUGGGAGAUGAAGUAGACAGUAUGUUGGAUAAAUCUGGAGUAAAGAACCCAGCAAUUGGUAAAGAUGAGAAUAUAUCGCCUCAAGUAAAAGGAGAUGAAGACAUGGGAGAUGAAAUUGACAGUAUGUUGGCUACAUCUGGAGGUCUUUUCUCCUGAGAACACGGGACUCCAGCAUCUUCGGAUUCUGCUCUUGGAGGUGUGAGUCCCUGCCUCUCUGCACAGGGGAACUUAUGUCUCUCCACAUGUCCGCAAAUGUCUACCCAAGAUUAUACAUCUUCCAAAGGCUUUCAAAUACUUCUUUACAUAAACAAGCUGCAUCAUUGGACUGAAAGUGAAUGGCCCAUGUGUUGCCACUGAUGUGAGCCAUUUGCCUGUUGUGCUUCA
rnacentral:precursor_RNA from 1 species